GAUGAACGCUGGCUGUGUGCCUAAUACAUGCAUGUCGAGCGAAGCACUUUUGUGCUUAGCGGCGAAUGGGUGAGUAACACGUACUUAACCUACCCUCAAGAUUGGGACAACACUUGGAAACGAGUGCUAAUACCAAAUACGUAUUUUUAUCGCAUGAUAGAUAUAUAAAAGGAGCUUCGGCUUCACUAGAGGAUGGGAGUGCGCUACAUUAGUUAGUUGGUAGGGUAAUGGCCUACCAAGACUAUGAUGUAUAGCGGGGCCGAGAGGCUGAUCCGCCACACUGGGACUGAGAUACGGCCCAGACUCCUACGGGAGGCAGCAGUAGGGAAUUUUCCACAAUGAACGAAAGUUUGAUGGAGCGACACAGCGUGCAGGAUGAAGGUCUUCGGAUUGUAAACUACUGUUAUAAGAGAAGAAAAACCCUGGUAGGUAAUGACCAGGACUUGACGGUACCUUAUCAGAAAGCGACGGCUAACUAUGUGCCAGCAGCCGCGGUAAUACAUAGGUCGCAAGCGUUAUCCGGAAUUAUUGGGCGUAAAGAGUUCGUAGGUGGUUUUGUAAGUCUGAAGUUAAAUACCGGGGCUCAACCCCGGCCCGCUUUGGAUACUGCAAAACUAGAGUAAUAGAGAGGUUAGUGGAACUCCAAGUGAAGCGGUGGAAUGCGUAGAUAUUUGGAAGAACACCAAUGGCGAAGGCAACUAACUGGAUAUUAACUGACACUGAGGAACGAAAGCGUGGGUAGCAAACAGG
rnacentral:rRNA from 1 species